ACUCCUACGGGAGGCAGCAGUGGGGAAUAUUGCACAAUGGGCGCAAGCCUGAUGCAGCCAUGCCGCGUGUAUGAAGAAGGCCUUCGGGUUGUAAAGCACUUUCAGUAGGGAGGAAGGUAGUGUAGUUAACACCUGCAUUAUUUGACGUUACCUACAGAAGAAGCACCGGCUAACUCCGUGCCAGCAGCCGCGGUAAUACGGAGGGUGCGAGCGUUAAUCGGAAUUACUGGGCGUAAAGCGCAUGCAGGCGGCCUGUUAAGUCAGAUGUGAAAUCCCUGAGCUUAACUUAGGAAUUGCAUUCGAUACUGGGAAGCUAGAGUAUGGGAGAGGAUGGUAGAAUUCCAGGUGUAGCGGUGAAAUGCGUAGAGAUCUGGAGGAAUACCGAUGGCGAAGGCAGCCAUCUGGCCUAAUACUGACGCUGAGGUACGAAAGCAUGGGGAGCAAACAGGAUUAGAUACCCUGGUAGGAUAGCGU
rnacentral:rRNA from 1 species